rnacentral:rRNA from 1 species
GAUGAACGCUGGCGGCGUGCCUAAUACAUGCCAGUCGAGCGAACAGAUGAGGAGCUUGCUCCUCUGACGUUAGCGGCGGACGGGUGAGUACACGUGGAUAACCUACCUAUAAGACUGGGAUAACUUCGGGAAACCGGAGCUAAUACCGGAUAAUAUAUUGAACCGCAUGGUUCAAUAGUGAAAGACGGUUUUGCUGUCACUUAUAGAUGGAUCCGCGCCGCAUUAGCUAGUUGGUAAGGUAACGGCUUACCAAGGCAACGAUGCGUAGCCGACCUGAGAGGGUGAUCGGCCACACUGGAACUGAGACACGGUCCAGACUCCUACGGGAGGCAGCAGUAGGGAAUCUUCCGCAAUGGGCGAAAGCCUGACGGAGCAACGCCGCGUGAGUGAUGAAGGUCUUCGGAUCGUAAAACUCUGUUAUUAGGGAAGAACAAAUGUGUAAGUAACUAUGCACGUCUUGACGGUACCUAAUCAGAAAGCCACGGCUAACUACGU